CACGGAGUUAGCCGAUGCUUUUUCUUCGGAUACACGCAGUCCGGGACACGUCCCGGGUUUUGUUCUCCGACAAAAGAGGUUUACAACCCAUAGGGCCGUCUUCCCUCACGCGGCUUGACUGGUUCAGGAUCUCUCCCAUUGACCAAUAUUCCUCACUGCUGCCUCCCGUAGGAGUCUGGUCCGUGUCUCAGUACCAGUGUGGGGGACCUUCCUCUCAGAACCCCUACGCAUCGUCGCCACGGUGGGCCGUUACCCCGCCGUCAAGCUAAUGCGCCGCAUGCCCAUCCUCUUCCGAUGAAUCUUUCCUCGAUCUCGGAUGCCCGAAACCGAUAUACGCGGGAUUAGCCUCCCUUUCGGAAGGUUGUCCCCCUGAAGAGGGCAGGUUGCAUACGUGUUACUCACCCGUGCGCCGGUCGCCGGCAAGGAAAGCAAGCUUCCCUCCCGAUGCCCCUCGACUUGCAUGUGUUAAGCCUGCCGCUAGCGUUCAUCCUGAGCCAGGAUCAAACUCU
rnacentral:rRNA from 1 species